rnacentral:rRNA from 1 species
UACGGAGGGUGCAAGCGUUAUCCGGAUUUACUGGGUUUAAAGGGUGCGUAGGCGGACUUACAAGUCAGUGGUGAAAUCUCCCCGCUCAACGGGGAAACUGCCAUUGAAACUAUUUGUCUUGAGUACAUUUGAGGCGGGCGGAAUGUGUCAUGUAGAGGUGAAAUUCUUAGAUAUGACACAGAACACCAAUUGCGAAGGCAGCUCGCUAAACUGUAACUGACGCUGAGGCACGAAAGCGUGGGUAGCAAACAGG